rnacentral:rRNA from 1 species
CAAAAAAGCGGAGGAAAAGUAACCAACAGGGAUUGCCUUAGUAGCGGCGAGUGAAGCGGCAAAAGCUCAAAUUUGAAAUCUGGCUCUUUCAGAGUCCGAGUUGUAAUUUGAAGAAGGUAUCUUUGGGUCUGGCUCUUGUCUAUGUUUCUUGGAACAGAACGUCACAGAGGGUGAGAAUCCCGUGCGAUGAGAUGAUCCAGGCCUAUGUAAAGUUCCUUCGAAGAGUCGAGUUGUUUGGGAAUGCAGCUCUAAGUGGGUGGUAAAUUCCAUCUAAAGCUAAAUAUUGGCGAGAGACCGAUAGCGAACAAGUACAGUGAUGGAAAGAUGAAAAGAACUUUGAAAAGAGAGUGAAAAAGUACGUGAAAUUGUUGAAAGGGAAGGGCUUGAGAUCAGACUUGGUAUUUUGUAUGUUACUUCUUCGGGGGUGGCCUCUACAGUUUAUCGGGCCAGCAUCAGUUUGGGCGGUAGGAGAAUUGCGUUGGAAUGUGGCACGGCUUCGGUUGUGUGUUAUAGCCUUCGUCGAUACUGCCAGCCUAGACUGAGGACUGCGGUUUAUACCUAGGAUGUUGGCAUAAUGAUCUUAAGUCGCCCGUCUUGAAACAA